CUAGGUCCUAGCCUAGCAGCAGCUACUUUAUAUUGAAUUCACGCUCGUUUCAUGCUGUUGUGAAGUGGUGGUUUUGGAAGGUUAGGAAAAAUGUUAACUUGCCAUUUCUGCAGCAAAACAUUACAAACCUUGAGGGGUUAUGUGCUGCAUUGUAAAAUCCACAGGAACGAGCCCCAUGCGUUUUUCAAAUGUGUUAGCACAGACUGCAAGCGGACUUUUAGUGCCUAUGCUACUUUUAAAAGUCAUUUCUAUCGAGUUCACAACAUACCUACUCCCUCUGUUACUGCUGGGGCCAUUUUUAGAGAUUUUAGGUGUGCUAUUUCGCUGUGUGAGUGUCAAUUUCACACAGUCAAAGAGCUUAUCUCCCACUUAAAAGAGCAUAUAGCGGAGGGGCGACCUGUGUCAUGCCCAGUAACAGGUUGUGAAAAUACAUUCACUGUUAAAUCGUCAUUUACUGCUCAUAUGUCACGAAAACACAGAAUGUGUUCAGUGGAUAGUAUAAGUGAGAAGUACCGGGAAAAUUUUUCCCAGCCCUCUGUCAGUGCAUGUGAAGAUCCCCAGAGCUCAAAUGAUGCUACAACAAAUGAAAGCAGUGAUUUGCCACAGGAUUUCAAAGACACUUUUCUUAGGAAUGUCUGUUUAUUCUACCUAAAAUUGCAAGGGCAGCUCCUUCUUCCAGCUUCAACUAUACAGACAAUCGUUGAAGAGAUUCAAAAUGUGCAUGAUUUGGGACAGGAUUACACUUUAAGUAAACUGCAGGCACUUUUGAAAAAUGACACGUGCCUAACUGAUGAUGCUAUUGCUAAAAUCUCUGAUUGUGUGAAGGAUUCAGACCUGUUUUCUGCCUGUCAUCAGGGGCCGCUGCGAACAACGUACUCGAGGGCUCAGACUUUCCAUAAAAUGUUUAAAUACAUAGAGCCUAAAAAAGUCAAAUUAGGAAAUGAUGAAAAUAUGACAGAGAGGUUUGCUUACUACGUACCUGUAACACAAACUUUACACAGCUUACUAGAAUCAGAUCUAUGGAAGAAUUCAGUGUUACAACAGUCUUGUGAUACACAGUCAGAAGACUUUUGUGACAUACGUGAUGGUCAAAACUUUAAGUCCAACCAGUUUUUCAUUGAAAAUCCAGGAUGCCUCAAGCUUAUUCUCUAUCAGGAUGCCUUCGAAGUUGUAAAUCCCCUUGGCUCAGCUAGGAAAAAACACAAAGUUCUUGCCGUCUAUCUUUCUGUGGCAAAUUUGCCUGCACAUGUGCGGUCCAAUACCGAUCACAUGUCCCUUGUGUUAUUGUGUGUAGAGAAUGACCUGAAACAGUUUGGAAUUGCUAAAGUCUUCUCAGAGAUGCUAGAGGAUUUAAAACAUCUUGAGAAAAAUGGAAUAACUGUUGGUGGUGAAACAGUCAAAGGGGGUCUAUAUUGUAUUGCAGGAGAUAAUUUGGGGUCACAUAGUAUUGGUGGGUUCACUGAAAAUUUUAGCCGUUCUGAGUACUUUUGCAGAUACUGUGAAAUCUCAAGAACCGGGUUUGAGAAUGAUCCAAAUGUUUGUGGUCCACAGCGCACUCCUGAAAGGUACAAUUCUGCACUGCUACAAGCUGAAGACGGACAAAGCAGUAGAGGCAUAAAGGGCUUACUCCUGAAACGGACAAAACGGACAGCUCAUCUGCUGUUGCUCCGGAAGGACCUCCUGUGUCCUUGGAGUCUACUUCACCCAGAAGUUCAUCAUCAACCUCUUCCAACAACUGCCAAAGCCCUAAUAUAGACUGGGUGGAUACUUUUUUGAUACCGUGGGAUAAGUUCCCAGAAGAACUUUUACAGUCACUUGAAAGAGGGAAACGACCAAAUCCACGAAUGAGGCGGGAAAUGGUCCGAAUCGUGGUCUCUGAGAUGAUGCAAAAUAGGUCUUGCAUUAAUAAAAAGAGCGCCACAGAAGUUGCAAAAAAGAUGGUGGCAAAAUACAUAUAUAUACAUAUAUAUACAUAUACAUAUAUAAAGUCUUUGCAAGAUGUAAUAGAGGGAGAUGUGAUUGGGACAGGCUACCAUUCUCUUGUAAAACAGCUUCAAAAUAGGAUCGAGAAUGUGAGGCGAUCUACAACCCCAAAAAUAAGAAAAAGGAAGCAUCACAAUGAUUCUGAUGGCACAGACGAAGUCCCUGUAGAGCAGAGAGCAGCAGUCCAAGACACCUAUGGAUGCACUAACUGGAAUUUAAAAUUCCUCCCCCUUGGAGAGACCCCAGAGAGCCAGCAAGAACAUGAAGAAAAACUGAAGAUGAUGUCUCAGCAACCUGAUGUUAAUCCAGACGAGGUCAAACGUCUGAUGAAGUUGACCUUUUACACGCAGCGCAAAAAAGUCAACCAGGGGCAAAAUAUCAAGAACCUCCUUGAUGAGUGGCCGUUUUUGUUUGAUGACCUGGGUAUGGCAGUCCACUUUCAGGAACUAACCGGAAUUGGGCUGAAAGAAGUUUUCUUGCGUAAUCUGGAGCUGAAGGGGAAAAGGCUCCUCAACUACAUGAACACAGUUUGUAUGCACAAGAGCAGAAAGUUCCUGCAGGCAGUAACAAAGUAUCAAGUGAUGAGGGGAGAGCAGAGUGGGUGUUCUGAAGACCUCAAAGACAUGAUGUUGCUUCUGCUGUCCUACUUUGAUGAAAAGGAAGAUGCCAUGUUCUUUUAUGUCGAGGACACAUGCCUGGCAGGGGAAGUACAGAUGGACCAGCUUCCCUUGACUCCGACGAUUGUUGUUUGUGGACGAUCCUGUUAUUCUGCAAAGCGCUUCAUGUUGAGUGUGGAUCGAAACAUUGUACAGGACAGCAUCCCCUCCUUCGUUUCUGCCAUAUGCCUGAUGUUUGGGAGCUACUAUUGCUUCAACAUACAUUACCCAGCAUGCCUGGCAUCAACACUGGAGUUUCUGCAGAGGUGCUUUUUCUCCAUUAACCCUGAGAAGGGCACUAAAGUAGAGAAGUCAAAAACAUCCCGUCUUCAUGUGAACCCCCGAGUCAUCACAUUGAUUCAAGAUCUUUCAGAUCACGAGUGGCGUGAUGCACAGUAAGCAUCAGCAGAAGAUUUUGUUUAUGUUGUGUAACCCUGGAACUGUAGUUUUAAGUCAAGGGUCCAUGUUAGUUCUAUUUCAGUACUUAUUUCAGUACACAGACACUUUCAGCCUCAAAGGCAGGGGAUGGGGGUGUAUUGAUUGUUUGUGUACGUGUGUACGUAUUUGUUUCUGUACAUUAGUGUACGUGUGUACGUAUUGAUGAUUAUGUACGUUAGAAAAUAACACUUUUUUUGUUUUGAGGAGUACACAAUAUGUACACUUGUUUCAUAGUUUUUUUUUUACCCCCAGCAGCUGUAGCAUUGCCUGGGGACCUUCAGAGCAAAGAGGGUGUCACUUGUACACUUGUUUAAUUGAUUGUUUUUCACAAGGGUGUCACUUGUACACUUGUUUGAUUGUUUCAGCAGCUGUAGCAUUGCCCUAGUUAAUCCUCAGUGCCAGUAUUUGAUAGAAUAUGAGGUUUGAGGUUAAUAAAUUCUUGGAGAGGCAA